GUCCUUGAAGCGGCAGUAGCGCUUGUGACCCUUGAGCCAGGACAGCACCCCGUGGUUGCGGCAGCGCGCGCACUUGGGCGUGCGCUGCAAGGGCGCCCGCGGCGGCUGCGACACCGGGCCGCCCAUGUACAGGCUGAUUUGGCGGCACCAGGCCCGAGGCCGCUUUUAUCCCAACACUUUGCCGAGAAACUCGGCUCGGCGAGAGCCAGAGCCUACUGGAGCGUGGCAGGUGCACUGGGGACCCGGCAGGAGCCGAGAGGGUCUUAAGUUGGGGCGAGCCAGGCCCCGCGCAGGGCCACUGGCAGUAGGGCGGUGAUUUGUAAAAUUUGGGCUCUUUCUUGAUUUCCUUUUGCAACAUAUUUUGUCUUGCUGCUGUAGAAGAAAAUGAAUGUUGUUGAAAACCUGCUGGCCCAAGAUGACAACCCAUUUUGCAGGCUAUUUCAAAGGGAAAAACAGUCCUCCUCCUUUGGCGCUGAGUUUAUUUUUCUACACUCUUCACCACGUUUUAGUAAAAAACAAGUCUCUGUCCUGAAAGGCCGGGGAAGUGUUCGUGUGGAGGAUUUGCUCAAGUACUGCAUCUAAACUUUCAGAGUGGACCAAGGAGCCACGUUAGCGUCUGGAAAGUUACCGGACAUGACCUUCCCUCUCCCCAGCAGCCACUGAACCAGCAAACGGAGGUCUCGCGUCACGCAGUUCAAACCCCCACGGACUCAGUGAUUUAGUUAUAGAUAAAGGAUGGGGUCACUUCGUCCCUGCCGCCCCCAGCGUCUUUGGAUAGUAUGAAACUUUGUUUAAACUGUUAUUUGCAUAUUUUUAAUCUCCUCCGAGUACCCGUUUGACCUAAUGCAGACUACUGCCACCAAUACACAGGGACCUCAAAUCAAAACACAAAGACAAAAAACAGGUGGAUUCAGCGGCGCAGGGUAGCUCAAUGGCUCUGUGCGAAGCGGGUGAGAUGGCAAUCCCGGAGCCGUCGGUCCCCAAGCUUCUGAGAGCGGACAUGAGCUUAUCACUAGGCGGUAUGAGCGAAUCGAAUUCGAGAGGAGAGCAGAGACGAGUUCACUGCAAUGGCCAACCCUGAGGCUUCACCACGGCCCUUGUUCCCUCGGGGAGGCCACUUUUCUCUGUACUGUCCUGGAAGCAAGCAGGCAACCCGAAAACGUCUCUUCUGUCUCUUCUGUGUUCUCUGUGAAUUCAAGUAAAAGUACAGCCACGCAUUCUACUAGCCAA